rnacentral:rRNA from 1 species
GACGAACGCUGGCGGCGUGCUUAACACAUGCAAGUCGAACGGUAAGGCCCUUCGGGGUACACGAGUGGCGAACGGGUGAGUAACACGUGGGUGAUCUGCCCUGCACUUCGGGAUAAGCCUGGGAAACUGGGUCUAAUACCGGAUAGGACCACUGCCUGCAUGGGUGGUGGUGGAAAGCUUUUGCGGUGUGGGAUGGGCCCGCGGCCUAUCAGCUUGUUGGUGGGGUGAUGGCCUACCAAGGCGACGACGGGUAGCCGGCCUGAGAGGGUGACCGGCCACACUGGGACUGAGAUAGUGCCCAGACUCCUACGGGAGGCAGCAGUGAGGAAUAUUGCACAAUGGGCGCAAGCCUGAUGCAGCGACGCCGCGUGAGGGAUGACGGCCUUCGGGUUGUAAACCUCUUUCAGCACCGACGAAGCGCAAGUGACGGUAGGUGCAGAAGAAGGACCGGCCAACUACGUGCCAGCCGCCGCGGUAA